GAUGAACGCUGGCGGCGUGCCUAAUACAUACAAGUCGAGCGAACAGACGAGGAGCUUGCUCCUCUGACGUUAGCGGCGGACGGGUGAGUAACACGUGGAUAACCUACCUAUAAGACUGGGAUAACUUCGGGAAACCGGAGCUAAUACCGGAUAAUAUAUUGAACCGCAUGGUUCAAUAGUGAAAGACGGUUUUGCUGUCACUUAUAGAUGGAUCCGCGCCGCAUUAGCUAGUUGGUAAGGUAACGGCUUGCCAAGGCAACGAUGCGUAGCCGACCUGAGAGGGUGAUCGGCCACACUGGAACUGAGCCACGGUCCAGACUCCUACGGGAGGCAGCAGUAGGGAAUCUUCCGCAAUGGGCGAAAGCCUGACGGAGCAACGCCGCGUGAGUGAUGAAGGUCUUCGGAUCGUAAAACUCUGUUAUUAGGGAAGAACAAAUGUGUAAGUAACUAUGCACGUCUUGACGGUACCUAAUCAGAAAGCCACGGCUAACUACGUG
rnacentral:rRNA from 1 species